rnacentral:rRNA from 1 species
GACGAACGCUGGCGGCGUGCUUAACACAUGCAAGUCGAGCGGUAAGGCCCUUUCGGGGGUACACGAGCGGCGAACGGGUGAGUAACACGUGGGUGACCUGCCCUCAGCUCUGGGAUAAGCCUGGGAAACCGGGUCUAAUACUGGAUAUGACUCCAUGACGCAUGUUGUGGGGUGGAAAGCCUUGUGCGGCUGAGGAUGGGCCCGCGGCCUAUCAGCUUGUUGGUGGGGUGANGGCCUACCAAGGCGACGACGGGUAGCCGGCCUGAGAGGGCGACCGGCCACACUGGGACUGAGACACGGCCCAGACUCCUACGGGAGGCAGCAGGUGGGGAAUCUUGCGCAAGUGGGCGAAAGCCUGACGCAGCGACGCCGCGUGAGGGAUGACGGCCUCGG